UGGGGAAUAUUGCACAAUGGACGGAAGUCUGAUGCAGCAACGCCGCGUGCGGGAUGACGGCCUUCGGUUUGUAAACCGCUUUUUCUCAUGACGAAGUUUUUUGACGGUAGUGGGGGAAGAAGCACCGGCUAACUACGUGCCAGCAGCCGCGGUGAUACGUAGGGUGCGAGCGUUGUCCGGAAUUAUUGGGCGUAAAGAGCUUGUAGGCGGUUUGUCGCGUCGAUAGUGCAAACUCAGUGCUUAACGCUGAGCCUGCUGUUGAUACGGGCAGACUAGAGGAAGGUAGGGGAGAAUGGAAUUCCCGGUGGAGCGGUGGAAUGCGCAGAUAUCGGGAGGAACACCGGUGGCGAAGGCGGUUCUCUGGGCCUUUCCUGACGCUGAGAAGCGAAAGCGUGGGGAGCGAACAGG
rnacentral:rRNA from 1 species